rnacentral:lncRNA from 1 species
AAAGGUGUGUUUUCGUAACGGGCAGACGACAGAAUUCACUUUAAAUUAACAUUGGUUCUUAUGGGAGUAUUCACCCAUCGGCAGAAAGUUGAGCAGAAAAAAAGAACUGUUCAAAUCAGAGACGAACUGUCGUUCAUCUUGCCGUUCUUUAUAAGGCCUAUCAACACAAUGCUAUUUUGCUUCGACCGAUCACUGCUCGUGAACCGUUUUAUCGAAAAAGAACUAAUUUCGGGAUUCUGUCGACGGGAACAGACAGCUUCGAAAUAUUUUUCUGCUCUGAUCACGUGACACCGGCAGAAUAUUCUUUCUCUGGAUCAGACGCCAUGUUCUUUUUAACCUCAAUCUUUAAUUGUUGAAUGGUUUGUUUUGAUAUUGGUUGUCAGAUUUCGGAUCGCUACUAUUAUACUGUAAAAUUAAUUUUCAGUAGAAAAUUGAGGUAUAAAAUAUUUCCAUUGGUUUCUUUAUUCUUAUAAUUUUUACAAGAGAAAUUGAAAAUGGAUUUACAACAGAAAGGCGUGAAAUUCGUUAUAAAUUUGAUGCGACAGUUCAAAGUUUUGUACUUUCCAGACCUGCACAACGAAUUACCUAUUUGAAAAAUAGAAUAUGGUUAAAAAUAUUGCUGAUGUGAUAGAGGAUUCAAGUACCAUUUACAAACAAAAUAUUGAAGAGAAUGUGCUCGAAAGGAAAUUCAUAUGAAUUCUUUUUUGUUGACCAGGAUGGAAAAAGUCAUUGGAAACCAUAGUUAGAAUAAGAAUAAGUUAGGCCUAGAGGUGUACCAGCCAGAAGUAGAGGAUGACAAAGAAAAUCAACUAUGAAUAAUAUUCCAUGGAUAUGAUUCAUGUAUGAUGUAGUAGCCUACAGAAGAAAGAGAUGGACUAAUCUAAGAAAUAUAUUCAUUU